CUUCACUGUGGCUCCACACACUAACUUCUCCUCCACGCAGCCGUGGGGCUUUUCUUUCGUGUCACCAUGUCCACAGUUUACGCGGCGUCCGUCUCUGUUUUUGUCCUGAUUUUCUGCGUUUUUAUUCUCGCUACAGAAGCGCAGUCAUCGACUCCUGCUCCAGCUCCGGUUCCUUGUGCUGACAGAUCCAACCGCAGUUGCUCUGAAUGCCUGCAGAAUGUGACAUGUUUGUGGUGCACGUCGACCGAGCGAUGCGUUGACUACCCAGUGAGGAACAUCCUGCCCCCCAACAGUCUUUGUCCCCUGAAUGAUGCACGAUGGGGGGUGUGCUGGGUCAACUUCCAGAUAUUGAUCAUCACCAUGUCGGUGCUGGCCGGUGUCAUCAUCAUUGCCAUUCUGGUUUGCUGCUUCUGCUGCUGCAAGUGUGAACGAAUGGGGAACAGGAAGGAAGAUGCAAAAGCGGAGCGACAGACUCGAGCGAGGAAGGCCCGUCAGAAAGCGAGGUGAAUGGCUGUUGAGAGAACAGAAAUGCAGCUGAGGCAUGAUGAAAUCAGACAGAAAUAUGGCCUGGCAAAGGAUAAUCCGUAUGCCCGUAUGGACGAUCAUUAGGAAGAACCUCAGCAACGGUUCCUUCAAGUGAUCUUAUUGAUGCCAGUAACAGUGAGACGCAGCGUACCAGUAGCUUAUGAUAAACUGUGAUUAUCCAGAUUGAUUUAGAUGUGACGGUGUUUGCAAAAAACUAUCUUUACCUAAUGUCUCUUUUUUAUAAAUACAUACAGCUCUCUUCGGUUUUCAGGAUUAAUAUUUUUCCGGCCUUGACUGGAUUUAUAACCCAAUAUUGUUUUCUGUCCAUACACAAAACUGCAUCAGGAUGAAGACAUCAUUCACCACUAUCCCAACAUCUUGUAUUAGUUUGAACAAACUGAUCAAGGCUUUGAUGCUUCUUUCAUAACUUAGCACAUUCACUUUUAUAUUACAUUUGCAAUGCACACUCUUUUACUGUCAUUGAUGUCUAAAGAUCAAUGUGUAUUUUUUUUUCUAUAAGAUGUUAAUGUAACAGAUUUUUACUUGUUUCCAGUUUUAGCUUUUGAUAAAUAUAAGAUUUAGUUUCAUAACUGUAUUGGAUUAAAAAAAAUGUGUGCACUGAAACUGCAUGUGGAUCGACUGAAUUUUGUGCAGCAAUUAAAAACAAAUUAAUUUCAAAAUUUAA